rnacentral:rRNA from 1 species
GCUGGCGGCGUGCUUAACACAUGCAAGUCGAACGAGGUCCACUGCGUAGCAAUACAAGGGAAGACCUAGUGGCGAACGGGUGCGUAAACACGUGAGGAACUUGUCCCGGGUCUCUGGGGAUAACAGUUGGAAACGACUGCUAAUACCGGAUGACGUCGGAAUCUCGCAUGGGAUACUGACGAAAGGGUUACUGGAUCGGGAGAGCCUCGCGGCCUAUCAGCUUGUUGGUGAGGUAACGGCUCACCAAGGCAUCGACGGGUAGCUGGUCUGAGAGGAUGAUCAGCCACACUGGGACUGAGACACGGCCCAGACUCCUACGGGAGGCAGCAGUGGGGAAUCUUGCGCAAUGGGCGAAAGCCUGACGCAGCAACGCCGCGUGCGGGAAGAAGGCCCUCGGGUUGUAAACCGCUUUCAGUAGGAACGAAAAUGACGGUACCUGCAGAAGAAGGUGCGGCCAACUACGUG